GACAGACUUUAAGCUGUGCCCUUUUGUUUCCACUUGGUCAGAAAUGAGAGUUGAUUAGACAUCUGGAUCUGCAUAAAUUCUUCAGCAGUAAGCAAAAGUAUAGUGGGACAGGAUUGGAAAUUUGGUGACAAGGAGGAAAUGUGUGUGACGAGAUCUCCUGAAAUAAACACACUGAAGGUGAAGUCAGCUGGGAGAGCCUGACCACCUGAUGACCAAGGUGACAAACAGCUCUGUGGACAGUGGUCUGCCUCUCUCCCUCACCAUGAACCAAGUUGCUAUGGUGACAAAGAUGCAAGAUCUGUCUGUUUAUCAAGACACAACCUGGCUGCAACAUGUUCUGAGAGCCUUAUCUUCCAACAAGAAGCCCCCAUUAUGGCAGCUUUUACCAGGGAGGUGGCCAGCUGCCCAGGUAGCAAGUGCAGCAGUGGGGCACCAAGACCAUAAUGACAGGGGCUGGACUUUGUUCAUUCUGGAACAGGGUACAGGUCUGUGUUCCAAUAUCUCUGCCAAAACCACUGCCUGCAGGUUUGUAAUGGUGAUUAAGUCACUAAGUCCUGUUUGACUCUCUGUGACCCCAUGGACUGUAGCCCUCCAGGCUGCUCUGUCCAUGGGAUUCUCCAGACAAGAAUACUGGAGUAGGUUGCCAUGCCCUUCUCCAGGGGAUCUUCCUGACCCAGAGAUCAAAUCCAUGGUUCCUGCAUUGCAGGCAGAUACUUUACCACUUACCAAAUGCCAUUGUUGCUGUGGUUAUGUUCCCUGUAACACUGCUGUUGAGUUCAUUCUAUAGGAGGUAAAUCCUGGCAAUAGACUUGUGCUCUUACAGUGUCCUGGCCGUACCCUGUUCCCUGUUGCUGUGAGACAUCCUUACUAACAGGAUGGUAGGUUGGUCUGGUGAAGACUCUUCUGGUGCCGCCUGAAUGGAUCGCUCGGUGGAGCUCAGACUUCUUCCUCCAAGCUAACAUGAAGGAAACUAGUGAAAAUUUGCACUUAAGGAAAAUAUAUGCUUAUGAAGAAAAAAAAU
ensembl:lncRNA